rnacentral:misc_RNA from 1 species
AACUGAUACUACCUGCGGGAACCUGCGGAGGGAUCAUUAUCAAUUUACAGCGGACUUCGGUCCUGUCUGCACCCUUGUCUUUUGCGUACUAUAUGUUUCCUCGGUGGGCUUGCCUGCCGAUAGGACACUUAUAAACUCUUUUGUAAUUGCAAUCAGCGUCAGAAAACUAUAAUAGUUACAACUUUCAACAACGGAUCUCU